AUGCGCGGCCACUACUGGCCGGGCAUGAAGGCCAACUGGAUCGUCCUCAUCCACCAAUCCGGUAGUCCGUGGCAUCUCGUGGAUAUAUACACCCAGCGAGAGAUCACCCUUCCAUCUUUGGAUACCGCCGCCAUCAAGACUCGCGGCCCACCGGACACUCCUGCCUACUACGCACGAGACGCCAGACGCAAAUGCGCUAGCCUUCAUGAUUCCAGGACCUGGAACCAUUCCAGCCGAUGGGUGGUGUACCAUAUAACUGGAAUUAACCCAUGCAAGUCGAAGAAGGAUUGGCUGGUGCUGUCGGCUGUUGUCACGUUCGAUCCCACGGAUCAGGAGCUGAUCGAGCACCUUGAGGCCAAAGUGAGUGCUGACAGCGCGACAUCUCACCCUCUCAUCGAUUUGUUCAUACCAACCAUCGAUAGCGAGCACGGCAUAUGCUACACCCAUCCUGAGAAAUUCCCAGGUAUCACACUGAGUGGCCUAAGCAAGCAUUUCUGCUUGCACAAUACUAGGGCAUUCAAAAGGGGCACGUGGACGCGUCGCAAGAUACAGUCGGAGUGCGGCAUGCACGCGAUGUGGCACAACACCGGCAAUACCUUGCCGGUGAUGGUCAACGGCCGGCAGACGGGCAGCAAAAAGGUUCUGGUGCACCACACCAACAAGAACUUCGACCAGCAGAGGACCAACUGGGUGAUGCACCAGUACCACCUCGGGGACCUGGAGCAAGAGAAGGAGCGGGAGCUGGUCCUCUGCAAGAUUUUCUACCAGACGAACACUAGGGCCAGGAGUAAAAAGAUUAUAAGUUAG
rnacentral:rRNA from 1 species